CUGAAAGUAAACAAAUAUAAUGUCUAAUGAAAUUUUGGAAAAAUCUAAAUUGUGUACCAAAUCAAUAGAUGUAUUAUAAGUUUGCACACUAUGUAUUAGGAGUCAAUGAAUUAUGAUACAAGGAUUGCUGUAAUAUUUAGUUAACAAUUUGACAGGCGAUUUCUCAAAGGCCAUUUGAGUAUCUUUAAUGCCAAAAUGAUGCUUGACAAGACACUAUACAGAAACCCUAACGGUUGCGGCCUAGUUUGAGUGGCGGACUAAGUGCAGAGAUGAUGCAUAAUAUGGAUAAGGGGAUUCUAUGGCAUGAAGUGGUUUAUUGUGGUUUAUUUCUCUUCUAAUCUAGUUGGCACUGGAAUAUUUGCCUACAGUCCAGUCUACGUACUACAAUUCAAUUCAGUUGCCACAACAAUUUGUACAAACACAUACAUUUUUGACUCACUUAAAUAUUUAAUAAAAAAAAAAGUAUUCUAAGCGCGUUGAUUAUUAAGUGAUUUAAAAAUGGCCGAUUCAACACCCUAUAAAUUAGAUAACAUGCUUUUGGCUGUGUCUGUUUCGAUCAACUUAUGUGUGUACUUUGUCGUAUAUGCAAUGUAUUCCCAGAUAGAUCUCGCUUCGGCCAUAUUUUUGUUAUCCACUCUCGUGAUUCUUGAAGACGUCCGUAUACACUAUGUAGAUGUCAAAGAAGAUACUGAUAAGUUCCUAACUGUCCUUGUGGUAUUCUGCAUAUGCAGCCAAGGAUUGAUGCUUGGUGUAUGGACUCCAAUUUGGAAUCUGUGUGAAAGGCUUCACUUGUACUUUGUGUCAACGGAAUAUGCAGAAGACAUCUUAAAUAACAAUACUGGAAUGUAUAUGUUUAUCAGAAACAUAUUCUUGUACCUUUUUAAAUUGAGCACAGCGCUUUUAAUAUCUUUCGAUAUUUUUCGAGGUCACCUGAACCUUAAUAAAACGGAAUCGGAACGUGUGGGUAACAGCGCUGCUAGGCGAUAUCGAAGGCAUUGAGGAUUAAACAUGUUGAUUAAUGUACUGCUCAACUGUUCAUACAUAAUUAAAGCUCUUCAAAUAUAGGAUAGAUUAGUGACAUCGAAUUCGUUAGAUAUGUGGCUAUCGGUUAAAUUACAUAACAUACCUCAAUCAUACUCUUUAUUCUGAUGAAUUAAAUCUUCAAAUGUUUUAAACUUGAA